rnacentral:rRNA from 1 species
AAUCAACGCUGGCGGCGUGCCUCAGACAUGCAAGUCGAACGAGAAAUCCCGAGCAAUCGGGAAAGUAAAGUGGCGCACGGGUGAGUAACACGUAGGUAAUCUACCUUCGGGUGGGGAAUAACCCAGGGAAACUUGGGCUAACACCGCAUAAUGCAGCGGCACCACAUGGUGACAGUUGUUAAAGCGGGGGAUUUUAGGACCUCGCGCCUGAAGAGGAGCCUGCGGCGGAUUAGCAGUUGGUAAGGUAACGGCUUACCAAGGCGACGAUCCGUAGCCGGCCUGAGAGGGCGGUCGGCCACACUGACACUGACAUACGGGUCAGACUCCUACGGGAGGCAGCAGUCGGGAAUUUUGGGCAAUGGGCGAAAGCCU